rnacentral:rRNA from 1 species
UGGGGAAUUUUGGACAAUGGGCGAAAGCCUGAUCCAGCAAUGCCGCGUGUGUGAAGAAGGCCUUCGGGUUGUAAAGCACUUUUGUCCGGAAAGAAAUCCUUGGCUCUAAUACAGUCGGGGGAUGACGGUACCGGAAGAAUAAGCACCGGCUAACUACGUGCCAGCAGCCGCGGUAAUACGUAGGGUGCAAGCGUUAAUCGGAAUUACUGGGCGUAAAGCGUGCGCAGGCGGUUUGCUAAGACCGAUGUGAAAUCCCCGGGCUCAACCUGGGAACUGCAUUGGUGACUGGCAGGCUAGAGUAUGGCAGAGGGGGGUAGAAUUCCACGUGUAGCAGUGAAAUGCGUAGAGAUGUGGAGGAAUACCGAUGGCGAAGGCAGCCCCCUGGGCCAAUACUGACGCUCAUGCACGAAAGCGUGGGGAGCAAAACAGGAUUAGAUACCCUGGUAGUCCACGCCCUAAACGAUGUCAACUAGUUGUUGGGGAUUCAUUUCUUAGUAACGUAGCUAACGCGUGAAGUUGACCGCCUGGGGAGUACGGUCGCAAGAUUAAAACUCAAAUGAAUUGACGGGGUCAUAGCUG